GCUGAAUCUAAGCUAGACAGAAGUGCUCAUCAUGGGGGACUGGAACUUGAGAGAUAGGAUUGAUCUUCUUCUCCUGGAUAGUGUUAUACUCUCCAAGAAAGACCAGCGAUCUAGAUAAUAAAGGAGUGCCCGGCAGACAUCCAGUGAAUGCAUUACCCUCUCCAGUGAGGAGGACGGGUCCCUGAAGAAUGUUGGUAGAAUGAUGUGCUGGUUUACGUGAAAGUCCGACACAAGUUAUGUGUGCCCCUCAACCAGGUAGAAAUGCAUCCAUAGUGAUCCACACUGAUGGCAUCAUUGUCUGGAAAGGCACGCUGCAAAGAUGGUCUGGUACUACCCAGCAUUUUAGUGAGCACAGUACAGGAAGCCAUGAGCCCCAGAAGACACUGUAUCUGAUGAGCACAUUGGGUUGGUUGAGCAUUGAACAUCGUAACCAUCUCCUUGAUGGAGCUAAACCAGUCCCGUGGU